rnacentral:rRNA from 1 species
GAUGAACGCUGGCGGCGUGCCUAAUACAUGCAAGUCGAGCGAACAGACGAGGAGCUUGCUCCUCUGAUGUUAGCGGCGGACGGGUGAGUAACACGUGGAUAACCUACCUAUAAGACUGGGAUAACUUCGGGAAACCGGAGCUAAUACCGGAUAAUAUUUUGAACCGCAUGGUUCAAUAGUGAAAGACGGUUUUGCUGUCACUUAUAGAUGGAUCCGCGCCGCAUUAGCUAGUUGGUAAGGUAACGGCUUACCAAGGCAACGAUGCGUAGCCGACCUGAGAGGGUGAUCGGCCACACUGGAACUGAGACACGGUCCAGACUCCUACGGGAGGCAGCAGUAGGGAAUCUUCCGCAAUGGGCGAAAGCCUGACGGAGCAACGCCGCGUGAGUGAUGAAGGUCUUCGGAUCGUAAAACUCUGUUAUUAGGGAAGAACAAAUGUGUAAGUAACUAUGCACGUCUUGACGGUACCUAAUCAGAAAGCCACGGCUAACUACGUG